CACCAGACUCCUACGGGAGGCAGCAGUGAGGAAUAUUGGUCAAUGGUCGCGAGACUGAACCAGCCAAGUAGCGUGCAGGAUGACGGCCCUAUGGGUUGUAAACUGCUUUUAUGCGGGGAUAAAAUGCGUCACGUGUGAUGUUUUGUAGGUACCGCAUGAAUAAGGACCGGCUAAUUCCGUGCCAGCAGCCGCGGUAAUACGGAAGGUCCGGGCGUUAUCCGGAUUUAUUGGGUUUAAAGGGAGCGUAGGCCGCAUGUUAAGCGUGCUGUGAAAUGCCGUGGCUCAACCAUGGCACUGCGGCGCGAACUGGCUUGCUUGAGUGCGCGGAACGUAUGCGGAAUUCGUGGUGUAGCGGUGAAAUGCUUAGAUAUCACGAAGAACUCCGAUUGCGAAGGCAGCUCACUGGACUGCAACUGACACUGAGGCUCGAAAGUGUGGGUAUCAAACAGGAUUAGAUACCCCUGUA
rnacentral:rRNA from 1 species